UACGUAGGGGGCGAGCGUUGUCCGGAAUCAUUGGGCGUAAAGCGCGUGUAGGCGGUUCGGUAAGUCCGCUGUAAAAGUCGGGGGGCUCAACCCUCGAACGCCGGUGGAUACUGUCGAGCUUGAGUACGGAAGAGGCGAGUGGAAUUCCUGGUGUAGCGGUGAAAUGCGCAGAUAUCAGGAGGAACACCGGUGGCGAAGGCGGGUCUCUGGGCAGUAACUGACGCUGAGGAGCGAAAGCGUGGGGAGCGAACAGG
rnacentral:rRNA from 1 species